rnacentral:rRNA from 1 species
AGCAACGCCGCGUGAGUGAUGAAGGCCUUCGGGUUGUAAAGCUCUGUCUUUGGGGACGAUAAUGACGGUACCCAAGGAGGAAGCCACGGCUAACUACGUGCCAGCAGCCGCGGUAAUACGUAGGUGGCAAGCGUUGUCCGGAUUUACUGGGCGUAAAGGAUGCGUAGGUGGAUAUGCAAGUCAGAUGUGAAAUACCCGGGCUUAACUCGGGUGCUGCAUUUGAAACUAUAUAUCUAGAGUGCAGGAGAGGUAAGUGGAAUUCCUAGUGUAGCGGUGAAAUGCGUAGAGAUUAGGAAGAACACCAGUGGCGAAGGCGACUUACUGGACUGUAACUGACACUGAGGCAUGAAAGCGUGGGGAGCAAACAGGAUUAGAUACCCUGGUAGUCCACGCCGUAAACGAUGGGUACUAGGUGUAGGGGGUAUCGACUCCCUCUGUGCCGCAGUUAACACAAUAAGUACCCCGCCUGGGGAGUACGGUCGCAAGAUUAAAACUCAAAGGAAUUGACGGGGACCCGCACAAGCAGCGGAGCAUGUGGUUUAAUUCGAAGCAACGCGAAGAACCUUACCUAGACUAGACAUCUCCUGAAUAACCUAGAGAUAGGCGAAGCUCUUCGGAGCAGGAUGACAGGUGGUGCAUGGUUGUCGUCAGCUCGUGUCGUGAGAUGUUGGGUUAAGUCCCGCAACGAGCGCAACCCUUAUCACUAGUUGCUACCAUUUAGUUGAGCACUCUAAUGAGACUGCCCGGGUUAACCGGGAGGAAGGUGGGGAUGACGUCAAAUCAUCAUGCCCCUUAUGUCUAGGGCUACACACGUGCUACAAUGGGCAGUACAGUGAGAUGCAAACUCGUGAGAGUGAGCCAAACUAUAAAACUGUUCCCAGUUCGGAUUGUAGGCUGCAACUCGCCUACAUGAAGCCGGAGUUGCUAGUAAUCGCGAAUCAGCAUGUCGCGGUGAAUACGUUCCCGGGUCUUGUACACACCGCCCGU